rnacentral:lncRNA from 1 species
UUAAAAUCAAAACCAAAACCGAAGCCAAAGCCCCAUUCCACCUCCCAACAGAGAAUCCCCUCCUCCAAAAUCUUGGUCGUCCGUACCGCGCAAACUGACGACGAUGCGCCGGCGCAAGCUUGACACACACGCCAUCGCCUCUCGGCCAAUCAGAUCCCGCCACGUCGAAACCACCUUAUUCUAAUCCGCCCUUUUCCUAUUUUAUAUAUAUAAAAUUCCCGCACCGCCAGCUCAGGAGCGCGACGCCAUUUUGACCCUCUCUCUCUCUCUCUCUCUCUUUCUCUCUCUUCUGCGCUUCGCUCGUUGGAUGCUGACGAGUCGUGCGGUACUGGGAGCUCAUCCGGCGCACCGAUUCGAAGGAGGAGACGACCAUGGCUAGCCCGAGUAACCUCU